CCUACGGGUGGCAGCAGUGAGGAAUAUUGGUCAAUGGACGAGAGUCUGAACCAGCCAAGUAGCGUGAAGGAUGACUGCCCUAUGGGUUGUAAACUUCUUUUAUAAAGGAAUAAAACGAGGCACGUGUGCCUUUUUGCAUGUACUUUAUGAAUAAGGAUCGGCUAACUCCGUGCCAGCAGCCGCGGUAAUACGGAGGAUCCGAGCGUUAUCCGGAUUUAUUGGGUUUAAAGGGAGCGUAGAUUGGUUGUUAAGUCAGUUGUGAAAGUUUGCGGCUCAACCGUAAAAUUGCAAUUGAUACUGGCAGUCGUGAGUACAGUUGAGGUAGGCGGAAUGCGUGGUGUAGCGGUGAAAUGCUUAGAUAUCACGAAGAACCCCGAUUGCGAAGGCAGCUUACUAAACUGUGACUGACAUUGAUGCUCGAAAGUGUGGGUAUCAAACAGGAUUAGAUACCCUAGUAGUC
rnacentral:rRNA from 1 species